rnacentral:lncRNA from 10 species
AGGCCGUUGAGUUCAGCUUAUGGUGAUGGAAAGAGAGAUGUCAAUAAUUCCACAUUUUCUGGCUUGCAUUGUUUGAUGAAAGGUGACCCCAUUCCCUGAGUUAAAGAAUGCUGAAAGAAGACCAGGCUUGAGGAGGAAGGAUCAUGCAUUUGCUUUUGGACCUGUAGAGUUUGAGGGCAGAGCUGAAGAAGCAGUGCAAGUCCAUUUGAAGACCUCUGGAAGGAAACCCCCAGCGGCUCUUUUUUCACUGAACAAGCAUUGUGGGAAUUUGGGGCUCGGCUGUGUAAUUUGUCCUCUUCUCAUUCAUUCAGGACAUGUUCAGCACCAGGAGGAAUUUGCAUCCAAGUCCGUCUCCCUGCUAAGUGGUAUUUUGAGAAUUCCGAAGCUUAGUCUCAGAGAAGAGCUGACCUGAACUUGCCGAGGCUCCCACUGCAUUGUAGCUUUUCUCUGGAGAACAAAAACUGCCAUUGUCCAGCAGCUCAUUAGCAUGACUGUACAGCCUCCGGAGUUAGCAAGGUGAUGCAAAAAUAAUAUGACAAGAUCCAUGUCUUCAAUGAGCUACAAUCCUACUGGGACAUGAGACUGUGCUUAUAAUAUGAUGAAAGAAUAAGAAAAUUUUAAAGCUAUAACAGGCAGAGCACAAGAACAAGCAGAGCUAUAACAAGCAGAGCACAAGAAGGAAGAGUGCAGAUCCAGGACUGGGACACUUAACCAAUAAUAAUACAAAUAAUGAAAACACAGCAGCAACAGGUGCCAUUUUGGAAGCAAGAAGCAGAGAACAAGCUCUCACUGGGCAUUAAAUCUGCCGGCAUCUUGAUCUUGAACUUCUCAACCUCCAGAACUCUGAGAAAUAAAUUUCUAUUAUUUACAAAUUACCCAGUCUAAGGUGUUUUGUUAUAGCAGCUCAAACAAAUUAAGAUAUCUGUUUAUUGCUUUUGGUAUGUGUUUGUGUUUUAAUUUUCUUGGAAGGUAGAGCAGAGAGACAAAAAUCACCAAAUUUUGGUGACAUGGUUGAAGCUCUGGGUCAAACCAAUCUUUGAGUCCAGCCUCUGAACCUCGCAUUAAAGUCCUUUAUAGUUUAGAUUGGUUAGGAUUAGGUCUCUUGAUGUUUGUUUUCACCUUGAGGGUUCCUAACUGCUACGGGGAGUCAGUGUGAUUUAACUCUAAGUGAAGAAGAACAGUUUAGAGGGAUGAUCCUGCACAUCUGCAUGGUGAUUGAAUUUAUGUCUCCUAUAAUUGUAUAUACAAAAUGAAAGUUUGGACUCUACAGGACAGGAGACUUUCCCCAACUUCUACCCUCCUUUAUCUUUUGCUGAUUAGUAUUGCAACAGGCACCUAACCAAACUCUCUGGCUCUGGGCCUGUGCUGUGUCUUCUAAUCUUCACACAGCUGCCAGCAUUAUCUUUAAAAGACAGAUCUUAUUAUUUUACACACAAAACAGACACACAUCUCCAUGCAGCAUCUGCUUAAAGUGUUUCUGUGGUUCCUGAUUGCUGACUGGAUUUCACUCAACUUUUUAGCAUGGCCCACAUGGAGCUACCUCUGCCCCACCUUUUCAGUUUCAACUCUUAGGACCCUCUCCUACAAACAUUGGGGUUCACUGUACCCUGAACAUGUGAUAGUCUUGCGUGUCUCCAAGCCUUUGCAUCUGCUAUUCCCCAUGCAUGCAAGGUCUUGCUCUUACUUUCUGUACAGGAGAACUCCUCUUCACCUUUGAAAACCCUCAACUCAAAUACCAAUUGGUUAAGACAUAUUUCUUGAUGUCCCCUGACAGAACCACUAGGAUGUGUAUGACUUAUUAUAGGAAUUUGACAUUUCACAACUGUGGGCGCUAGUUAGUUGGUAAACAGCCUUUGGGAGGUUGUUGUGUUUAUCUUGAAGGCAGGAAGUUGAAAAGGGAAAAUGGAAAAGAAGAACAAAUUGGGACCUGAAUGGUGCCUAUGAGGAUGAACUGGAACCCGUGUUGGUCUGGAACCUUGGUUGGAAAUCCAAGCUUUCAACUUUAAUGAUGCGGAUGUUCUGCAAGAGAAGCUGGUGCACUUUUUCAUGCUUGAUAUGCACCUGGCCCAGGAGUCAGAGAAGCUGAAAAACGAUCCAGCAGGAGCUGGAGUCUGUGUGGGCCUUGUUGUUGCACCACCGUCCGCCUCCAGGCAAGACAACUG